rnacentral:misc_RNA from 1 species
GGUUGUAUUUUGGUGUUUAAGUAGGAUAUUACGGAAUUGUUUUUUUUUAUUUUUUAUUUAUCGUUUUACGUAUGAUUUUUUUUUUUUAGAGAGGUUUUUUUUAAUAGGAUAUAAAAACGGUUUUUGGAAAUUUUAGUUGAUAUUUUAUUUGUUAUGUAAUAAUAGUGGAAUGAGAGAAUAUUUUUUAGUAGUUUCGGUAAA